rnacentral:rRNA from 1 species
GGUUAAGCGACUAAGCGUACACGGUGGAUGCCCUGGCAGUCAGAGGCGAUGAAGGACGUGCUAAUCUGCGAUAAGCGUCGGUAAGGUGAUAUGAACCGUUAUAACCGGCGAUUUCCGAAUGGGGAAACCCAGUGUGUUUCGACACACUAUCAUUAACUGAAUCCAUAGGUUAAUGAGGCGAACCGGGGGAACUGAAACAUCUAAGUACCCCGAGGAAAAGAAAUCAACCGAGAUUCCCCCAGUAGCGGCGAGCGAACGGGGAGCAGCCCAGAGCCUGAAUCAGUGUGUGUGUUAGUGGAAGCGUCUGGAAAGGCGCGCGAUACAGGGUGACAGCCCCGUACACAAAAAUGCACAUACUGUGAGCUCGAUGAGUAGGGCGGGACACGUGGUAUCCUGUCUGAAUAUGGGGGGACCAUCCUCCAAGGCUAAAUACUCCUGACUGACCGAUAGUGAACCAGUACCGUGAGGGAAAGGCGAAAAGAACCCCGGCGAGGGGAGUGAAAAAGAACCUGAAACCGUGUACGUACAAGCAGUGGGAGCCUCUUAAUGGGGUGACUGCGUACCUUUUGUAUAAUGGGUCAGCGACUUAUAUUCUGUAGCAAGGUUAACCGAAUAGGGGAGCCGAAGGGAAACCGAGUCUUAACUGGGCGUUAAGUUGCAGGGUAUAGACCCGAAACCCGGUGAUCUAGCCAUGGGCAGGUUGAAGGUUGGGUAACACUAACUGGAGGACCGAACCGACUAAUGUUGAAAAAUUAGCGGAUGACUUGUGGCUGGGGGUGAAAGGCCAAUCAAACCGGGAGAUAGCUGGUUCUCCCCGAAAGCUAUUUAGGUAGCGCCUCGUGAAUUCAUCUCCGGGGGUAGAGCACUGUUUCGGCAAGGGGGUCAUCCCGACUUACCAACCCGAUGCAAACUGCGAAUACCGGAGAAUGUUAUCACGGGAGACACACGGCGGGUGCUAACGUCCGUCGUGAAGAGGGAAACAACCCAGACCGCCAGCUAAGGUCCCAAAGUCAUGGUUAAGUGGGAAACGAUGUGGGAAGGCCCAGACAGCCAGGAUGUUGGCUUAGAAGCAGCCAUCAUUUAAAGAAAGCGUAAUAGCUCACUGGUCGAGUCGGCCUGCGCGGAAGAUGUAACGGGGCUAAACCAUGCACCGAAGCUGCGGCAGCGACACUAUGUGUUGUUGGGUAGGGGAGCGUUCUGUAAGCCUGCGAAGGUGUACUGUGAGGUAUGCUGGAGGUAUCAGAAGUGCGAAUGCUGACAUAAGUAACGAUAAAGCGGGUGAAAAGCCCGCUCGCCGGAAGACCAAGGGUUCCUGUCCAACGUUAAUCGGGGCAGGGUGAGUCGACCCCUAAGGCGAGGCCGAAAGGCGUAGUCGAUGGGAAACAGGUUAAUAUUCCUGUACUUGGUGUUACUGCGAAGGGGGGACGGAGAAGGCUAUGUUGGCCGGGCGACGGUUGUCCCGGUUUAAGCGUGUAGGCUGGUUUUCCAGGCAAAUCCGGAAAAUCAAGGCUGAGGCGUGAUGACGAGGCACUACGGUGCUGAAGCAACAAAUGCCCUGCUUCCAGGAAAAGCCUCUAAGCAUCAGGUAACAUCAAAUCGUACCCCAAACCGACACAGGUGGUCAGGUAGAGAAUACCAAGGCGCUUGAGAGAACUCGGGUGAAGGAACUAGGCAAAAUGGUGCCGUAACUUCGGGAGAAGGCACGCUGAUAUGUAGGUGAAGUCCCUCGCGGAUGGAGCUGAAAUCAGUCGAAGAUACCAGCUGGCUGCAACUGUUUAUUAAAAACACAGCACUGUGCAAACACGAAAGUGGACGUAUACGGUGUGACGCCUGCCCGGUGCCGGAAGGUUAAUUGAUGGGGUUAGCGGUAACGCGAAGCUCUUGAUCGAAGCCCCGGUAAACGGCGGCCGUAACUAUAACGGUCCUAAGGUAGCGAAAUUCCUUGUCGGGUAAGUUCCGACCUGCACGAAUGGCGUAAUGAUGGCCAGGCUGUCUCCACCCGAGACUCAGUGAAAUUGAACUCGCUGUGAAGAUGCAGUGUACCCGCGGCAAGACGGAAAGACCCCGUGAACCUUUACUAUAGCUUGACACUGAACAUUGAGCCUUGAUGUGUAGGAUAGGUGGGAGGCUUUGAAGUGUGGACGCCAGUCUGCAUGGAGCCGGCCUUGAAAUACCACCCUUUAAUGUUUGAUGUUCUAACGUUGGCCCCUGAUCGGGGUUGCGGACAGUGUCUGGUGGGUAGUUUGACUGGGGCGGUCUCCUCCUAAAGAGUAACGGAGGAGCACGAAGGUUGGCUAAUCCUGGUCGGACAUCAGGAGGUUAGUGCAAUGGCAUAAGCCAGCUUGACUGCGAGCGUGACGGCGCGAGCAGGUGCGAAAGCAGGUCAUAGUGAUCCGGUGGUUCUGAAUGGAAGGGCCAUCGCUCAACGGAUAAAAGGUACUCCGGGGAUAACAGGCUGAUACCGCCCAAGAGUUCAUAUCGACGGCGGUGUUUGGCACCUCGAUGUCGGCUCAUCACAUCCUGGGGCUGAAGUAGGUCCCAAGGGUAUGGCUGUUCGCCAUUUAAAGUGGUACGCGAGCUGGGUUUAGAACGUCGUGAGACAGUUCGGUCCCUAUCUGCCGUGGGCGCUGGAGAACUGAGGGGGGCUGCUCCUAGUACGAGAGGACCGGAGUGGACGCAUCACUGGUGUUCGGGUUGUCAUGCCAAUGGCACUGCCCGGUAGCUAAAUGCGGAAGAGAUAAGUGCUGAAAGCAUCUAAGCACGAAACUUGCCCCGAGAUGAGUUCUCCCUGACUCUUUAAGGGUCCUGAAGGAACGUUGAAGACGACGACGUUGAUAGGCCGGGUGUGUAAGCGCAGCGAUGCGUUGAGCUAACCGGUACUAAUGAACCGUGAGGCUUAACCUU